AUGACCUAAGGAAGAAUGGCUUUAGGAAAUGAAUCUUCAGUGAAGGAGUUUAUCCUGCUGGGCUUGACACAGAAGCCAGAGCUCCAACUGCCUCUCUUCUUCCUCUUCUUGGGAAUCUAUGUGGUCUCCAUGGUGGGGAACCUGGGCUUGAUUGUUCUGAUUGUGUUGAAUCCUCACCUGCACACCCCCAUGUACUACUUUCUCUUUAACCUAUCUUUCAUUGAUUUCUGCUACUCCUCUGUCAUAACUCCCAAAAUGCUGGUGGGUUUUCUGAAGCAGAAUAUCAUCUCUUACUCUGAGUGUAUGACUCAGCUCUAUUUUUUUGCUUUCUUUGUUAGUGAUGAGUGCUAUAUUUUGACAGCAAUGGCCUAUGACAGAUUUGCUGCCAUUUGUAAACCCCUGCUUUAUCAGGUCACUAUGUCCCAUCAGGUCUGCCACUUGAUGAUGAUGGGUGUUUAUGUGAUGGGGUUUGUUUGUGCCAUAUCCCAUACAGGUUGUAUGCUAAGCCUGACCUUCUGUGAUGGCAAUAUAAUCAAUCACUACAUGUGUGACAUACCCCCUCUCCUAAAACUCUCCUGCACAAGCAACUCCAUUAAUGAGGUUGUGGUUUUCAUUGUGGUGGGUGUCAAUGUGAUAAUACCCAGCCUCACACUGUUUGUUUCUUAUACCUUGAUCCUUUCUAACAUCCUCAGCAUCCAGUCUGCUGAAGGUAGAUCAAAAGCCUUCAGUACCUGUGGCUCCCAUGUAAUAUCUGUGUCUUUUUUCUUUGGAGCUGCAGCCUUCAUGUAUUUUAAGCCUCCUAGUGCAUCUGUGGAUGAAGAUAAAAUAUCUUCCAUGUUUUAUACUAUUGUGGGCCCGAUGAUGAAUCCUUUUAUCUAUAGUAUAAGAAAUAAAGAUGUCCACAUUGCACUGAGAAAAACUUUGAAGAAAAGGAGUUUUACUUAA